AUACGGAGGAUCCGAGCGUUAUCCGGAUUCAUUGGGUUUAAAGGGUGCGCAGGCGGCCGUGCAAGUCAGCGGUGAAAGCCCGGGGCUCAACCCCGGAAGUGCCGUUGAUACUGCAUGGCUGGAAUGCGGUCGAGGCGGGCGGAACGGGGGGUGUAGGGGGGAAAAGCGUAGAUAUGCCACAGAAAGCCGAUAGCGGAGGCAGCUCGCCAGGCCUGCAUUGACGCUCGGGCACGAAAGCGUGGGGAUCGAGCAGGAUUAGAUACCCUGGUAGUCCACGCCGUAAACGAUGGGCGCUCGUCGUCGGCGGCAGACAGUCGGCGGCCAAGCGAAAGCGAUAAGCGCCCCACCUGGGGAGUACGGUCGCAAGGCUGAAACUCAAAUGAAUUGACGGGG
rnacentral:rRNA from 1 species